rnacentral:rRNA from 1 species
CUACGUGCCAGCAGCCGCGGUAAUACGUAGGGUGCGAGCGUUAAUCGGAAUUACUGGGCGUAAAGCGUGCGCAGGCGGUUUGUUAAGACCGAUGUGAAAUCCCCGGGCUCAACCUGGGAACUGCAUUGGUGACUGGCAAGCUAGAGUAUGGCAGAGGGGGGUAGAAUUCCACGUGUAGCAGUGAAAUGCGUAGAGAUGUGGAGGAAUACCGAUGGCGAAGGCAGCCCCCUGGGCCAAUACUGACGCUCAUGCACGAAAGCGUGGGGAGCAAACAGGAUUAGAUACCCUGGUAGUCCACGCCCUAAACGAUGUCAACUAGUUGUUGGGGAUUCAUUUCCUUAGUAACGUAGCUAACGCGUGAAGUUGACCGCCUGGGGAGUACGGUCGCAAGAUUAAAACUCAAAGGAAUUGACGGGGACCCGCACAAGCGGUGGAUGAUGGGAUUAAUUCGAUGCAACGCGAAAAACCUUACCUACCCUUGACAUGGUCG